AUCUGUGGUGUCUAUAUUAAGGGGGAAGGGACACUCUUCUCUGUUGCAGCCUCACUUUGUGACUUAGGCUCAUAAAAUGUGUCUAUUUUUAC